AUGCACCAUUUACAAGCACCGAAAGUAGUCUUUUAUACACAUGUGCGGGAAAAACUUUCGCGCAUUGCUAGCGGUGUGAGAAAAAAACCUUCGCACAUUGCUAGCGGUGUGCGAAAAAGACGGCCGCGCUUUUAUCCACAGAUCGGAAGAACGUCG